rnacentral:lncRNA from 1 species
UCCUUCUGAAUUGGUUAUCAAUGUAAUUCUUGUCUUCUUGAGUACGACUUAGACUAAACUUAUCCAACUACUGUCUGAAAUUGUAUAUAUUAUUCUUGCAUCAAACAAUUUUAAUAUAUCCUUUUUUACAAUCUCCAUUGUAGGAGGGUUCAAUUUUCUUUGUACUCCUCUCUUCGGCUUAUUAUCCUCAUCGAUGGGGAUCUUAUGCAUGCAUGUAGAGGGACUUAAUCCCUUGAGAUCCGCAACUGUCCACUCAAUAGCUUUCUUAUAUUCUUUUAAUACCUGAACAAGUUUAUCUUCUUCAUGCUCACUUAGCUUCUUAGAAACUAUGAUCGGAAGGGUGUUCUUACU